AAAGGAGUAGGGGCAAUAAGGCCCUUAUUUGGCCCAAAAAUUACUGCAAAUUUAAAAGUUAUCAUACAUAUUUUUAAAUUACUGAAAAGUAUCUCAGGUAGAAGGUAUAUAGAAAAACAAAAUAAUUUUGGACAUUGAACAAGUUACCCUGGCAACAAAUCAUGCCUUAAUUUGCAUAUUUUGUAAAUUUUUGUGAUUUUCCUUGUUUUUCAUCAACUUUUUAAGUAUAUUUUCGAUUGGAAAAGUAUGUGCGCACCCAAGAAACAACUUUAUACUUGGUGAGAUUUUGUCAAUAGUAAUAAUAAAGCUUCAGUUAAAUUAUUUUGUUGUUUCUUGGCUGCGCACGAUGUUUCCACAACAGAAAUAAAGAUAGAAAACUGCAUAAAUUCUGAAUUUUCAUCGUUUUUGUGAAAACAGUACAUAUUGUGACGUAAUUGUGACGUCAUCACAUAAGAAUCUUAAUGUUUUUCGUUUAUAUUUCUUGACCCUAUGCAUUUCUAAAGAUUAUGUGCCAAUUUGAAAAAGUUAUCAAACAUUUUAUUUUCUUGGGCCAAAACCAGGCCUUAAUGCCCC
rnacentral:lncRNA from 1 species